rnacentral:snRNA from 1 species
AAAGCUGAGGGUGAUCUGGCUGCAACAUCUGUCAUCCCAUGAUCACCGGGGUUGAUUCAGCUGAUCUGGCUGGCUAGGUGGGUGUCCUCUUCCUCCCUCACCACUCCAUGUAUGUCCCUCCCAAGGCUGGGUACUUGAUUGAAGAGGAUGACCUUCCCUGACAGAGGAGGACCAUUCUUCAUGAGUAGCUGUGCUCCCCUGCUACAAACCUCCAAACAAGCGGGAGCAAGGGAAACUGUGAUUUAAGAUAAGACUCUCAUCCUCAGAGUGCCAAUGU